AACUUCAGUAAUGAACCUGGACCCUCAGACACAAAGAAGAGGAGUGAUGUCUCUGUGGAGGACCAGCUGUCCUGCUGUGCUGUGUACUUGGACCAGUCUGCUUCAUCAGGAGACUCCUCCUGUCCCCAGUGUGGACAAAGAUCCAGAACCAGAGCUGGACUGCAGCCAGCCGGUCAGACCAGCACUGUACAAACAGAUAGAGGUCUGCAGGAGGUUGUAGAUGAACAUAAGAUCAGUCUGAGGAGGAGAUGUG